UGCCCUGCUCAGUCACCAUCAGAGAAGCUUCCUCUUGAACAAAUGCAGAGACUCACAGGCUGUCAAUGUGCAGACAAUGAGGGACCGCAGCCCUAAAUGGGAUGUCUCCAUCAAAUAAUUCCUGCAGGGCUCAGGAAACACUGUGGAAGAGAAGGUGCAGGACACCAAGGAAACAAGGCCUUCUAAAUAUAGCAGGGCUUACACACCCAUGAAUGUGAACUACAAGAUUGUGUUUGAAAAAUGAUGUCAAAAUCCACAAGUGCUGGGUGGAGUGCAAGUUGUCUCUGGAUAUCUGACCCUGUAAACGCAGAAGUCCCAAGCCCUGCAGCCAAGUAGCCGGGAUGGAAAGAGCAGGCACAUUGGUUGAAGCUGAGCUCCCUACUCAGCUUCCCCCGGGUACCACAGAGACAGCACUGGAUACCUCAUUGCAGCUUGAGAAGAAUGAACUCUAGGCUCAUCAUUCUGCCGUAACAGGUUGUCAUUUACGUCAGUCAACUUCCAGCCCUGGUGAUGAGCCAAUGGGUAAGACAGCAUGGGAUCACUUGGGAUUGUUUGAAGGCCAUGCUAUGAGGAAAAUGAAUUGCAGCCUUCCAUAUUUCCUGAAAGUAGCCCAAAGUAAUGUUCUACCCUUAAAGAAGCAAAUGAACUUCCUGUAAAAAUAGGCUUGGAGGUAGUAUGAUAACAGCAGAGUCACGGAUGUCUUAGCCCGUUGUCUAACUUAGAACUGAGUUCAGGGCCUGCCUGAAAGCUUUUUAUCAGAAAGGGUAAUGUGAUCAGUGACCCAAAAUGACAUGCUGAACAUGGACUUUAGGUGCAGCCAUAAUUCAAGAAGGAAAAUACGAUUUCUGUUUAUUCCCCUUGUACUGGAAAUUUUGAAACAAAGGGGAGAUUCUAUAGAAUGCAUUGUGAAUGACCCUCAGUGUUGGUUCACGGCGGUAGGGCUCUUCAUUGUCCCUUCUUGUAUGUCAUCUGUCAGUCAUGUGUUUGUGUGAACACAGAUGUGCUAUCAACAGGAUGAUGUGUGAAAUUGAAAUGGGAACGUUCAAACUACCCAAAUUCCCUUAUCAUAUUUUUAUAAUGCAGAUAAUAUGGCAGUGCAGCAACUUAGAAUAAAAACAUAAUCAUCUCUUGAGAAUUCAUGCUCCAUUUCCUUCCUUCUCUGUGUCUCUCUCCUACUCUCUGUUCUGUCUUUCUGCAUUCCUUUCUUUUGAUUCCAGACACUUCCAUUUAGAGUUCUGGAGAAAUAAAUAUUUCGGAGAGGAAUUCCAUGCUUUUUUUGGAAGGGAAAUUCCCCAAGAGUUCAA